rnacentral:rRNA from 1 species
CAGCCGUAAACUAUGCGCGUUAGGUGUACUGGUGACCACGAGUCACCGGGGUGCCGAAGGGAAACCGUGAAACGUGCCGCCUGGGAAGUACGGUCGCAAGGCUGAAACUUAAAGGAAUUGGCGGGGGGAGGCACCACAACGGGUGGAGCCUGCGGUUUAAUUGGACUCAACGCCGGAAAUCUCACCGGAUAGGACAGACAAAUGAUAGUCGGGCUGAAGACUCUACUUGAUGAUCUGAGAGGAGGUGCAUGGCGUCAGUGACU